UUCUAGGGCUAAUCUUGUAGGUGCCUGUACUCAGAACCGACACUGGUAGUCAAGGAGAGAAUCCUAAGGUGAGCGAGAUAACUAUGGUUAAGGAACUCGGCAAAAUGACCCCGUAACUUCGGAAUAAGGGGAGGUGUAGCGAUACACCCUCAGGAAAUAGGUCCAGGCAACUGUUUACCAAAAACACAGGUCUCUGCUAAAGCGUAAGCUGAUGUAUAGGGGCUGACGCCUGCCCAGUGCUGGAAGGUUAAGAGGAGAUGUUAGUUGGACGCAAGUCGAUAACAACGAAGCUUCGAAUUGAAGCCCCAGUGAACGGCGGCCGUAACAAUAACGGUCCUAAGGUAGCGAAAUUCCUUGUCAGGUAAGUUCUGACCCGCACGAAAGGCGUAAUGAUCUGGAUACUGUCUCAACCAUAGACUCGGUGAAAUCUUAAUACCUGUGAAAAUGCAGGUUACCCGCUACAGGACAAAAAGACCCCGUGGAGCUUUACUGCAACUUGAUAUUGGAAUCAGAUGUAUCAUGUAGAGGAUAGGUGGGAGACUUUGAAGUUAGGACGUCAGUUCUAAUGGAGUCAUCCUUGGAAUACCACCCUUGAUAUGUUUGAUUUCUAACUUGCGCCCAUUAUCUGGGUGGAGGACAGUGUCUGGUGGGCAGUUUGACUGGGGCGGUCGCCUCCCAAAGAGUAACGGAGGCGCCCAAAGGUUCCCUCAGAAUGGUUGGAAAUCAUUCGUAGAGUGUAAUGGCAGAAGGGAGCUUAACUGCGAGACCUACAAGUCAAGCAGAUGCGAAAGCAGGGCAUAGUGAUCUUGCGAUCCCGAAUGGAAGGGUCGUUGCUUAACGGAUAAAAGUUACCCCGGGGAUAACAGGCUGAUCCCACCCAAUAGUUCAUAUAGACGGUGGGGUUUGGCACCUCGAUGUCGGCUCGUCGUAUCCUGGAGGUGGAAUCGCUUCCAAGGGUUGGGCUGUUCGCCCAUUAAAACGGCACGCGAGCUGGGUUCAGAACGUCGUGAGACAGUUCGGUCUCUAUCCGUAGUGGGCGUUAGAAAAUUGAGGAGUGCUUUUCCUAGUACGAGAGGACCGGAAAGGACGAACCGAUGGUGUAUCUGUUGUCACGCCAGUGGCAGAGCAGAGUAGCUAUGUUCGGAAGGGAUAAUCGCUGAAGGCAUCUAAGCGAGAAGCCCUCUCCAAGAUGAGUUUUCUUUAUCUUCAAGAUAUAAGAUCCCUUGUAGACGACAAGGUUGAUAGGUUAGAUGUGUAAGCAUAGUGAUAUGUUGAGCUGACUAAUACUAAUAGAUCGACAAUUUAAUCAU
rnacentral:rRNA from 1 species